rfam:Prosthecochloris sp. CIB 2401, complete genome.
ACGCUGCAGCGUGCAGUCGCUGUGUACCUUACCAGAGGUAUGCAGAGGAAAGUCCGAACAUCGCAGGACAGGGUGCCGGCCGAGAGCUUAUGCUCAAGUCCGGGAACACAGGGGAAAGCCCUGUGUUACAGCAAGUGCAACAGAAAGCAAACCGCCCCGGCGAUUGCCGGGGUAAGGGUGAAACGGUGGUGUAAGAGACCACCAGGCGUGCCAGCAAUGGUAUGCGCUGGGUAAACCUCCCCGAUGCAAGGCAGAAUAGGGAAGCUUUCUCCUUGGGGAAAAGGGUUGUCCGCCCAAUUCAUAUGAGGGCUUUGCCCUCCGGGAGUUUCCGGGUGUGCCGCAUCAGAUAAAUGACUGCAUACCUGCCUUUGGCCGGCAGGUAACAGAAUUCGGCUUAUAGCUGCAGCGCCUUU